UACAGAGGGUGCGAGCGUUGUCCGGAAUCACUGGGCGUAAAGCGCGCGUAGGCGGUUGCUUAAGUCGGAUGUGAAAGCCCUCGGCUUAACUGAGGAAGUGCAUCCGAAACUGAGCAGCUAGAGUACGAAAGAGGGUCGCGGAAUUCCCGGUGUAGAGGUGAAAUUCGUAGAUAUCGGGAGGAACACCGGUGGCGAAGGCGGCGACCUGGGUCGAGACUGACGCU
rnacentral:rRNA from 1 species